rnacentral:lncRNA from 1 species
GGCAGGCUCUCCUAGGGGGAUGGCUUGGUUCUAACAGACCAAGCUAAGUGACCCCUUCCUGAGGCGCCAUUCCCAGAAGAGAACAGGCAUGUGUGUGUGCAUGCAUGCAUAAGUUCACCAUAGCCAUUUCUUGUGCGCGCACACACACACACACACAUACACACACGCUCCCCAAACACGUUUUUUCUUCAAAGUUCAGGUCCAAAUUCUCAAACAUACACCAAAGAAUCACCAACAUCCUCUCUGGGGUAGGCUAUUUCAGUUUGGGGAAGGUAGAUUCAAAAGUGAAACUGGCUGUGGGUGAAAUCUAACAGUUGAGGGGUUGGGGGUGAUGUCAGGAGAAGCACCGAAGGGAGGAGAAUAACGAGGCCCUCAUCUCAGCCAUCCUCCACCUCCAUGUGCUUAUGCUUGGUCCUUAAUGGCCCCUGAGCUGGGAGUCGGCCAGGUGUCAAUGUCCCCAGCACAGCUUCAACUUCUUCCGGACAACUCCAGAACCCUGUGUCUUGAAGGAAAGGGCAUUCUGACAGCAUGAUAUGGAUAGAAGCUGGACCCGGGCUGCCCACCAGCCCCACUUUGUUAUCGGGACCUGUCUCUGCCAGUCUUAUGACCAGGAACAGAAUGACGCUUGCUGGUGGGGGCGGGAGCCCAGGUACCAAGCCAACUGGGCUCUCGCCCGGCUCUAUCCCAGGCCUGGCACUCUCCCUCUGGCCGUUACCCAACAUGCACUUCUGCCUCUUUCGGGAGACCUCGCCCUCUUGUUUUCAAAGUUUUAUAACAGUAUUGUUUGUUGUUGAGCAGAUUAAAUUCUUUAGAGGUUGGGGGGGGGGGGCUGGAGAAGAGUGAGAAAGUCUACUGAAGCCAAGAGAUUAAAUUAGCCCCUUUCUGAACACAGAGUUCACCUGUCUUGGAAAGGGACCAGUGGCCAGGAACACAUGUUCUCUCUCUCUCUGCCCUCUACCCUCACGCCCUCCUUCUCGUCCUGUCCUGGGGAGGCACCCUGAGUCUGACAAGGACGUGCCUGGCUGCGUGAUCAAGGGCUGGAGCUUUAACAGUCAAUGAGCCAGGGUUCAAGACAAAAUGAAAGCAACUGAAGAGGAGAAUAGGAGUGGAGAAACCGACUUGUCCCUCCCCCACUUCCCCAUGACCAGCUGAAGAUCACUGAACCCUGUGAAAAUGCCCCAGGCCCUCCUAUCAUUAGGAUGUGAUUGCUCAUCCUCCCCAAGGGUUUGCCACCUUGGUCCUGGACCAUCCUGGGGUCCUAUGGGCAGCUCCUUGGAGCUCAGUCUGGGCAGAUGGUUAGCUUCUGAAAUGAGCUCUGGCUUAUAUGUAAAACUUUUUUUUAAAGGUUAAGUGACCCAAGACAUUUUCAUAAAAAUGUGCCCUAAUGCACAUUAAUCAGUAUAAUGCAAUAUACUGGAUAGAUGAUGAAUGAAUUAGGGGAAGUGCACGUGUGAGCAGUUCUCUACACACAAACAUGAGGGGAAGCAAGGGCUGGGGGACAGAACACUGGCCUCAGUCAGGAAAACCUAGAUUCAGCUCUUGCCUCUGACACAUACUGGUGUGAUGCUUGGCAGGUCACUCAACCCUUCACUGCCUCAGUACAGAAGAGGCCUCAAGGCCACACCUGAAGACCUAGAGACUGAACGUUCUCUAGAACAAUGAUAUCACUGCCCCCAAACUCAUCCACAUAUCUAUCCACACACAGCCUGGCCCUAUCCAUAUACCUCUAUCAACUUACAUGCACAUGUCAGAGGAAGUUCAUAUGGGUGUGGGUGUGGUCUAUGAAUGGAGCGGAAGAAAAAUAAAGAGUCAGGAAAGACAGACUAUGGGAAGAAC